GAUGAACGCUGGCGGCGUGCCUAAUACAUGCAAGUCGAGCGAACAGACGAGGAUCUUGCUCCUCUGACGUUAGCGGCGGACGGGUGAGUAACACGUGGAUAACCUACCUAUAAGACUGGGAUAACUUCGAGAAACCGGAGCUAAUACCGGAUAAUAUAUUGAACCGCAUGGUUCAAUAGUGAAAGACGGUUUUGCUGUCACUUAUAGAUGGAUCCGCGCCGCAUUAGCUAGUUGGUAAGGUAACGGCUUACCAAGGCAACGAUGCGUAGCCGACCUGAGAGCGUGAUCGGCCACAGUGGAACUGAGACACGGUCCAGACUCCUACGGGAGGCAGCAGUAGGGAAUCUUCCGCAAUGGGCGAAAGCUUGACGGAGCAACGCCGCGUGAGUGAUGAAGGUCUUCGGAUCGUAAAACUCUGUUAUUAGUGAAGAACAAAUGUGUAAGUAACUAUGCACGUCUUGACGGUACCUAAUCAGAAAGCCACGGCUAACUACGUG
rnacentral:rRNA from 1 species